rnacentral:rRNA from 1 species
AACAGAAGCCUUCGGGUAGAAGAUUUGUGGAUCGAGCGGCGGACGGGUGAGUAACACGUGGGCAACCUACCUAUAAGACUGGGAUAACUCGUGGAAACAGGAGCUAAUACCGGAUGUAUCGUUUGAACGCAUGUUCAAACAAAUAAAGGCGGCUUUACGGCUGUCGCUUAUAGAUGGGCCCGCGGCGCAUUAGCUAGUUGGUGGGGUAAUGGCUCACCAAGGCGACGAUGCGUAGCCGACCUGAGAGGGUGAUCGGCCACACUGGGACUGAGACACGGCCCAGACUCCUACGGGAGGCAGCAGUAGGGAAUCUUCCGCAAUGGACGAAAGUCUGACGGAGCAACGCCGCGUGAACGAUGAAGGUUUUCGGAUCGUAAAGUUCUGUUGUUAGGGAAGAACACGUACCGUUCAAAUAGGGCGGUACCUUGACGGUACCUAACGAGAAAGCCCCGGCUAACUACGUGCCAGCAGCCGCGGUAAUACGUAGGGGGCAAGCGUUGUCCGGAAUUAUUGGGCGUAAAGCGCGCGCAGGCGGUCUUUUAAGUCUGAUGUGAAAUCUUGCGGCUCAACCGCAAGCGGUCAUUGGAAACUGGAAGACUUGAGUGCAGAAGAGGAGAGUGGAAUUCCAUGUGUAGCGGUGAAAUGCGUAGAUAUAUGGAGGA